UUGAUCCUGGCUCAGAAUCAACGCUGGCGGCGCGCUUAACACAUGCAAGUCGAACGAGAAAGGGGAGCAAUCCCUGAGUAAAGUGGCGUACGGGUGAGUUACACGUGGGUAAUCUACCUUUUGGUGGGGAAUAACUCUGGGAAACCGGAUCUAAUACCGCAUAAGCUCGAAAGAGGAAAAGAGAAAUUUGCCGAAAGAGUAGCCCGCGGCCGAUUAGCUAGUUGGUGGGGUAAAGGCCUACCAAGGCAAUGAUCGGUAGCCGGCCUGAGAGGGCACACGGCCACACUGGCACUGAAACAUGGGCCAGACUCCUACGGGAGGCAGCAGUGGGGAAUCUUGCACAAUGGGGUAAACCCUGAUGCAGCGACGCCGCGUGAGCGAUGAAGCCCUUCGGGGUGUUAAGCUCUUUCGGUCCGAACGAUAAUGACGGUACGGAAAGAAGAAGCUGCUGCUAACUACGUGCCAGCAGCCGCGGUAAUU
rnacentral:rRNA from 1 species